rnacentral:siRNA from 1 species
CAUCUUCGCUGGAACCACCACCAC